AGAGUUUGAUCCUGGCUCAGGACGAACGCUGGCGGCGUGCCUAAUACAUGCAAGUCGAGCGGUUCCUUCGGGAAUAGCGGCGGACGGGUGAGUAACACGUAGGCAACCUGCCUGCAAGAUCGGGAUAACUAUCGGAAACGAUAGCUAAGACCGGGUAGCUGGCUCGCUUGCAUGAGCGGGUCAUGAAACACGGAGCAAUC
rnacentral:rRNA from 1 species